rnacentral:rRNA from 1 species
UACGGGGGGGGCAAGCGUUGUUCGGAAUUACUGGGCGUAAAGGGCUCGUAGGUGGCCCCAUAAGUCAGACGUGAAAUCCCUCGGCUCAACCGAGGAACUGCGUCUGAGACUGCGGGGCUUGAAUCCGGGAGAGGGAUGCGGAAUUCCAGGUGUAGCGGUGAAAUGCGUAGAUAUCUGGAGGAACACCGGUGGCGAAGGCGGCAUCCUGGACCGGUAUUGACACUGAGGAGCGAAAGCCAGGGGGGCAAACGGG